CUACGGGCCGCAGCAGUGGGGAAUAUUGCACAAUGGGCGCAAGCCUGAUGCAGCCAUGCCGCGUGUAUGAAGAAGGCCUUCGGGUUGUAAAGUACUUUCAGCGGGGAGGAAGGGAGUAAAGUUAAUACCUUUGCUCAUUGACGUUACCCGCAGAAGAAGCACCGGCUAACUCCGUGCCAGCAGCCGCGGUAAUACGGAGAGUGCAAGCGUUAAUCGGAAUUACUGGGCGUAAAGCGCACGCAGGCGGUUUGUUAAGUCAGAUGUGAAAUCCCCGGGCUCAACCUGGGAGCUGCAUCUGAUACUGGCAAGCUUAAGUCUCGUAGAGGGGGGUAGAAUUCCAGGUGUAGCGGUGAAAUGCGUAGAGAUCUGGAGGAAUACCGGUGGCGAAGGCGGCCCCCUGGACGAAGACUGACGCUCAGGUGCGAAAGCGUGGGGAGCAAACAGGAUUAGAUACCCCGUAGUC
rnacentral:rRNA from 1 species